rnacentral:rRNA from 1 species
GCGGGGCUAAUUUGACUCAACACGGGGAACCUCAUCAGGCCAGGACACCGGAAGGAUUGACAGAUUGAGAGCUCUUUCUUGAUUCGGUGGGUGGUGGUGCAUGGCCGUUCUUAGUUCGUGGAGUGAUUUGUCUGCUUAAUUGCGAUAACGAACGAGAUCCUACCCUACUAACUAGUCGAAACCGGCAUCCCCUGUGCAGCCGGCGACCAACACUCUUCUUAGAGGGACAGGCGGCUUCCAGCCGCAGGAAGUGGGGCAAUAACAGGUCUGUAAUGCCCUUAGAUGUUCUGGGCAGCACGCGCGCUACACUGAAGGGAUCAACGUGUGUUUUCCUUGCUCGAGAGGGCCGGGUAACCCGUUGAAACUCCUUCGUGCUAGGGAUUGGGGCUUGCAAUUAUUCCCCACCAACGAGGAAUGCCUAGUAAGCGGGAAUCAUUACUUCCUGCUGAUUAAGUCCCUGCCCU